ACGAGGUUAAGUUAAAAAGACUAAAUGUUUUCAAAACAUUCAGUGGCUAUUUUGUCAUCUCGUG
rnacentral:tRNA from 1 species